UACGGAGGGUGCAAGCGUUUGUCCGGAUUUAUUGGGUUUAAAGGGUGCGUAGGCGGCUAAUUAAGUCAGCGGUGAAAUUCUACAGCUUAACUGUUAGAACUGCCAUUGAUACUGGUUGGCUUGAGUACAGAUGAGGUAGGCGGAAUUGACAGUGUAGCGGUGAAAUGCUUAGAUAUUGUCAAGAACACCUAUUGCGAAGGCAGCUUACUAAACUGUAACUGACGCUGAGGCACGAAAGCGUGGGGAUCAAACAGG
rnacentral:rRNA from 1 species